rnacentral:rRNA from 1 species
AUUGAACGCUGGCGGCAUGCCUUACACAUGCAAGUCGAACGGCAGCACGGGUGCUUGCACCUGGUGGCGAGUGGCGAACGGGUGAGUAAUACAUCGGAACGUACCUUAUCAUGGGGGAUAACGCAGCGAAAGCUGUGCUAAUACCGCAUACGCCCUGAGGGGGAAAGCGGGGGAUCGAAAGACCUCGCGCGAUUAGAGCGGCCGAUGCCUGAUUAGCUUGUUGGUGGGGUAAAAGCCCACCAAGGCGACGAUCAGUAGCUGGUCUGAGAGGACGAUCAGCCACACUGGGACUGAGACACGGCCCAGACUCCUACGAGAGGCAGCAGUGGGGAAUUUUGGACAAUGGGGGCAACCCUGAUCCAGCAAUGCCGCGUGAGUGAAGAAGGCCUUCGGGUUGUAAAGCUCUUUUGUCAGGGAAGAAACACCGGCUCUAACACAGUCCGGGAAUGACGGUACCUGAAGAAUAAGCACCGGCUAACUACGUGCCAGCCGCCGCAGUAA